ACAAGCAGAAAUAAAGAAGAUAUACUUAUAAAAAAAUCCUAAUCAAAAGUCCAGAAGUACAAAGUUUUUCACUAUAAAUUGAUACAUUGAUAACAUAGUACAUAUCUUUCUGUCAAAUAUUGACAGUACUUUCUAUCACAACUUAAUAUUGAUAUGCCAACAGGGCAAAACAGUUGUAUUUUACUAAACUAAUUCCUUACAUUCUUUAUUUAAUGUUGCUGAGAAGACAUGUGAGAAAAGGAAGGCAAGAAAUGCAACAACAUACUCUACUUAUAUAUAUUUGACCUUGCAAUAGGCAUGUUAAUAUCUGGUGUUGAAAGAACAAAAAGGUCUACAGUUAAACCAAUAUUAAAUUGUCUGGUGUUUAAAGAACAAAAAGGUCUACAGUUAAACCAAUAUUAAAUUUUCUGGUGUUGAAAGAAGAAAAAGGUGUACAGUUAAAUCAAUAUUAAAU
rnacentral:lncRNA from 1 species